rnacentral:rRNA from 1 species
UUGACCUCGAUCAGUAGUCAU